GGUGCUGCAACCCCAGCAGCAGCAGCAGCAGCAGGAGCUGUCAAUGGCCAUAACGAUAACGGUCACAUUCCGGAGCAGUCGCCAUCCCAAUCCAGCGAAGCGGCAGAGCCUUCCAAUGUCAAUAUACCAAUUAUUACUCUAGAUCCCAAUUCGCUGCAAUGAUGCAGCUGCUCCGCUCGACAACAACAUGGGGCACUAUGAAGUGGACCCACACACACACACACACACGUAGAGUUGACCUAUUUUUACAUGUACAUAUGCUUAAAGUAAAAUUCUCAUAAAUGCCAUCAAGCACAA